rnacentral:tRNA from 1 species
GCCGAAGUGGUGGAAUUGGUAGACACGCUACCUUGAGGGGGUAGUGUCCGAAAGGGUGUGCCGGUUCGAGUCCGGCCUUCGGCA